GCUGUUCGCUGGUCUCACGCGCGCGCGGGGAAGUGGCGGAGUCCGUGCGCGGAGCCCAGGAGCCUGUGGAAGCGCAGCUUGUCCCGGAAGGCAGGCGGUCUGGGAAGGGAUUCGUUUCCGCGCAAUAAGAGUACUUUCUAGAGAAGACCGGCCCCUUUUGUCCUGGGACGUAAGCAGCGAGGCGACCUGACUCGUGCACGCAGCGAGGAUUGAUGCAGCUGCAUCACCUGUCUCCGCCGUGCGCGGGACAGGUGAGUUCUGAGCCACCCAGAACACCGCGGCUCGGCUCAGCCCCAGUGCUCCGGUUCAGGGCUACAGGAUGCGAGUCCUUUAACGAAACGGAUUUGCUUCUCGUGACGCCCUUGAAGAGACGCCUUCCUCCACCGCUGCACUGCAGAGACGUGGGCGCCGCCACCCCCACCCCACCUGCGCCUCCUCCAGGAAGCCUUGCUCAGGGCAAGGAUUGUGACAUCCCAGGUCACUCUACAGCUACAAAGAGGCACUUGUGGACACUCGUCACUUGUUGGGAUGCGUCAUGGCUUCUGAUCACUCCAGGUGCUGCAGUGAUGGGAACGCCUCAGACAGUGUUUCUGCUUCCAGCAUUAUUCACAAUAGCCAAGAUAUGAAAUCAACCCAAGUGUCUUGUUGACAGGUAAAUAAAUAAAGACAAUGUGGC